UUGCUUCAGUAGCACAUAUAUUAAAAUUGGAAUGAUACAGAGAAGAUCAGGAUGACCCCUGGGCAAGGAUGACAUACAAAUUCAUGAAGCAUUCCAUAUCUUU